UACGAAGGGGACUAGCGUUGUUCGGAAUCACUGGGCGUAAAGGGUGCGUAGGCGGGUCUUUUAAGUCAGGGGUGAAAUCCUGGAGCUCAACUCCAGAACUGCCUUUGAUACUGAGGAUCUUGAGUUCGGGAGAGGUGAGUGGAACUGCGAGUGUAGAGGUGAAAUUCGUAGAUAUUCGCAAGAACACCAGUGGCGAAGGCGGCUCACUGGCCCGGUACUGACGCUGAGGUGCGAAAGCGUGGGGAGCAAACAGGG
rnacentral:rRNA from 1 species